rnacentral:lncRNA from 1 species
CGUCCCGUUUCGUGAGUGUUUCUUCGUUCAGGAGCUACCAGAAAGCAGCCCACCCCCACCCUCAUAAAAAAAAUAAGCGAGUGGGGAAGAGCCAGCCCCACGCCGGUCCGCCUCCCGCCCGCGGCCCCGCCUCCCUCCCGCUUGCCGCCCGGCUCGGCGUUUCUUCGCCCCGAGUUCUCCAUCCCCUGGAUCGCGGGCUCGCGGGGAAGAGGAUCGAGGAAAGAACUCGACUACCCUGUUUGGAUCAAGAUCAGCAAGGGAUGCCCACCCAGGAGGAGAAGGCAGAUUCCUUAGACCUACUGACUGCAGCAUCUACACCAGGUAACAACAGUGCUCAUUCCACCUCCUGCACCCACCACACACAGUCUUGGAAUGUAAACCCUGUGAGUAUCAGACAUCACAUGUACUUGUGCAACUUGGGGAUACAUUCCAGUCUCUCAGUGGAUGCCUGAAACCAUGGAUAGUAAGUACUGAACUUCAUAUAGACUAUGCUUUUCCUGUGCAUACAUACCUAUAAUAAAGUUAAAUUUAUAAAUUAGGUAUGGUGUGAGAUCAAAAACAACUGCUGAUAAAAUUGUAAUAAUAUACUUAAAUGAAAGUUAUAUGAAUGUGAC